CCCCUUAGAGUUUGAUCAUGGCUCAAAACGAACGCUGGCGGCAUGCCUAAUACAUGCAAGUCGAACGAACACUUCGGUGUUAGUGGCGCACGGGUGCGUAACGCGUGGGAAUCUACCCUUGGGUUCGGAAUAACAGUUAGAAAUGACUGCUAAUACCGGAUGAUGACGUAAGUCCAAAGAUUUAUCGCCCAAGGAUAACCCCGCGUAGGAUUAGCUUGUUGGUGAGGUAAAAGCUCACCAAGGCGACGAUCCUUAGCUGGUCUGAGAGGAUGAUCAGCCACACUGGGACUGAGACACGGCCCACACUCCUACGGGAGGCAGCAGUAGGGAAUAUUGGACAAUGGGGGAAACCCUGAUCCAGCAAUGCCGCGUGAGUGAUGAAGGCCUUAGGGUUGUAAAGCUCUUUUACCCGAGAUGAUAAUGACAGUAUCGGGAGAAUAAGCUCCGGCUAACUCCGUGCCAGCAGCCGCGGUAAUACGGAGGGAGCUAGCGUUGUUCGGAAUUACUGGGCGUAAAGCGCACGUAGGCGGCGAUCUAAGUCAGAGGUGAAAGCCCGGGGCUCAACCCCGGAAUUGCCUUUGAGACUGGAUUGCUAGAAUCCGGGAGAGGUGAGUGGAAUUCCGAGUGUGGAGGUGAAAUUCGUAUAUAUUCGGAAGAACACCAGUGGCGAACGCGGCUCACUGGACCGGCAUUGACGCUGAGGUGCGAAAGCGUGGGAGCAAACAAGAUUAGAUACCCUGCUACUCCACGCCGUAACGGUGGGCGCUAGGGUGUGGGCUCCCUUCCACGGAUCCGUGCAGUAGCUAACGCAUAGCGGCCCGCUUGAGAGUACCGCAGCAAGCUAUACUCAGAGUAAUCGACGGCGCCCGCACAGCGCGAAGCAUGUGAAUCAAUUCGAAUGCACGUAAUCUAGCUGAUGACUAUACCGGAAAGCUGACAAGAUGAGACUCGUGUC
rnacentral:rRNA from 1 species